AUUGAACGCUGGCGGCAGGCCUAACACAUGCAAGUCGAACGAGUGGCGGACGGGUGAGUAAUGUCUGGGAAACUGCCUGAUGGAGGGGGAUAACUACUGGAAAGGGUAGCUAAUACCGCAUACCAUCAGAUGUGCCCAGAUGGGCUUUGCUAGUUGGUGGGGUAACGGCUCACCAAGGCGACGAUCCCUAGCUGGUCUGAGAGGAUGACCGGCCAAACUGGAACUGGAAAACGGUCCAGACUCUAACGGGAGGCAGCAGAGGGGAAUAUUGGACAAUGGGCGCAAGCCUGAUGCAGCCAUGCCGCGUGUAUGAAGAAGGCCUUCGGGUUUUAAAGUACUUUCAGCGGGGAGGCGUUACCCGCAGAAGAAGCACCGGCUAACUCCGUGCCAGCAGCCGCGGUAAUAC
rnacentral:rRNA from 1 species